rnacentral:rRNA from 1 species
UAGCCCAGAGAAAUUUGGAUUAAUACCCCAUAAUAUAUUUGAUAAGGCAUCUUAUUAAUAUUAAAGCUUCGGCACUUGAUGAUGGGUGUGCGGCUGAUUAGGAUAGUUGGCGGGUAACGGCCCACCAAGUCUACGAUCAGUAGCUGAUGUGAGAGCAUGAUCAGCCACACGGGCACUGAGACACGGGCCCGACUCCUACGGGAGGCAGCAGUAAGGAAUAUUGGACAAUGGACGAAAGUCUGAUCCAGCCAUGCCGCGUGAAGGAUUAAGGUCCUCUGGAUUGUAAACUUCUUUUAUAUGGGACGAAAAAGGGCAUUCUUGUUCACUUGACGGUACCAUAUGAAUAAGCACCGGCUAACUCCGUG